AGAGGCCACCGUCCGGGGCAGCGCCGGGGGACAGCAGGGCAGGAGAUGUGCCUGUCCUUAGCGGUACAGGAAGCAGCAUGCACCCCGAUGCCACCGACAGCAGCGGCGCCGGCCUCAGCCUCGUGCCGGCAGCGGCCACCGUUGGCCGCCCAGCCCCGGGCGCCCCGGGCGAGCGGCGGCCGGACGCCCGGGAAGACGCGGCGGCGCCGGGGAGCCCUGGCGGCUGGAGCUGGCGAGUGUCCGUGGCGGUGGCCGCACUCGCCGCCGUGUGCCUCUCCUGCCUGGGGCCCGGUUGCUGGCAGGCGGCCGGAGGCGCGGGGCCGUGCACCGUCCUGCUCCGGCUCAGCCUGUACCUGGGCUGCGCCGCGGCCGCCUUCCUCUUGGGAACCCUGUUCUCCCUCGUCUGCCGGAGCCGGCGAGCCCCGCCGCCCGACUUCGUCGCCACCUGGAGACGGCUGGCCGCGGCCGCCCGCCGCGGGCCGGGGAGUCCUGUAUAUGGAAACUCACAUGAGUCAGUUCAGUCUAGAAGGGUAGUGAUUUCUCACAAUAUGGACAAAGCUCUAAAAGAAGUGUUUGACUACAGUUACAGAGAUUACAUUCUGUCCUGGUAUGGAAAUCUCAGCAGAGACGAGGGGCAGCUUUACCAUCUGCUCUUGGAAGACUUUUGGGAAAUUGCCAGGCAACUGCGCCACAGACUGAGCCACGUGGAUGUGGUUAAAGUCGUCUGCAAUGAUGUUGUAAGAACUUUACUCGCUCAUUUCUGUGACCUGAAAGCUGCAAAUGCCAGACAUGAAGAACAACCAAGGCCUUUUGUGCUGCAUGUGUCCCUGAGGAACUCGUAUGAUGAAGUGAGGUUCCUACAGAUGUGUUCUAGGGUUCUGGUGUUUUGUCUCCUCCCCUCAAAGGAUGUCCAGUCUCUCAGCUUACGUAUAAUGCUUGCAGAAAUUCUCACAACAAAAGUCUUGAAGCCGGUAGUGGAGUUACUUAGUAAUCCAGAUUACAUCAACCAGAUGCUGCUUGCCCAGCUGGAGCGCAGAGAACAGAUGAAUGAACAUCACAAGAGAGCCUACACCUAUGCUCCUUCUUAUGAAGAGUUCAUCAAGCUUAUUAACGGCAACUCUGAUGUUGAAUUCUUGAAGCAACUAAGGUAUCAAAUUGUAGUGGAAAUAAUCCAAGCAACUACAAUUAGCAGCUUUCCCCAGCUGAAGAGGCACAAGGGUAAAGAAACUGCUGCAAUGAAAGCUGAUCUCCUAAGGGCCAGGAAUAUGAAAAGGUACAUUAACCAACUGACUGUGGCUAAGAAGCAGUGCGAGAAGAGAAUCCGAAUCCUGGGAGGCCCUGCCUAUGACCAGCAAGAGGAUGGGGCCUUGGAUGAGGGAGAAGGGCCUCAAAGCCAGAAGAUUCUUCAGUUUGAAGAUAUUUUGGCCAAUACGUUCUACCGAGAGCACUUUCGAAUGUACAUGGAAAGGAUGGACAAGAGAGCUCUGAUUAGUUUUUGGGAGUCAGUGGAAUAUCUGAAGAGUGCUAACAAGAAUGAAAUCCCGCAAUUAGUUGGUGAAAUUUACCAGAAUUUCUUUGUGGAAAGCAAAGAAAUACCUGUGGAAAAAUCACUCUACAAAGAAAUCCAGCAGUGUCUUGUAGGAAAUAAAGGUAUUGAAGUGUUCUGCAAAAUCCAGGGCGAUGUUUAUGAGACCCUAAAGGAUAGGUAUUACCCUUCAUUUAUUGUCAGUGACCUGUAUGAGAAAUUGACGAUAAAAGAGGAAGAAAAACAUGGCUCGCACUUGAUUUCCGGCAAGGAUGAAAUGGACCCAGGAGGUGAGGCUGGUGAGGAAGCUGUAGAUGAAGGCACCAGUCGGAUUAAUGAACAAGCCAGUUUUGCUGUAAACAAACUACGAGAACUAAAUGAGAAACUUGAAUAUAAAAGGCAAGCUCUAAAUUCUAUUCAAAAUGCACCAAAACCUGACAAGAAGAUUGUUUCCAAGUUGAAGGAGGAAAUAAUUCUAAUAGAGAAAGAACGCACGGACCUACAGCUGCACAUGGCAAGAACAGAUUGGUGGUGUGAGAACCUCGGAAUGUGGAAAGCCUCCAUCACCAGUGGAGAGGUUACAGAAGAGAAUGGUGAGCAAAUGCCCUGUUACUUUGUCAUGGUAAGCUUACAAGAAGUUGGCGGAGUUGAAACUAAGAACUGGACCGUCCCUAGAAGGCUCAGUGAGUUUCAGAAUUUACACCGGAAACUUAGUGAGUGUUUCCCUUCUUUAAAAAAAGUCCAGUUGCCUUCUCUUAGCAAGCUGCCUUUCAAAUCUAUAGAUCACAAGUUUAUGGAAAAGUCAAAGAAUCAAUUAAAUAAGUUUUUACAGAAUCUGCUUUCAGAUGAAAGACUGUGUCAGAGUGAAGCACUUUAUGCCUUUUUGAGCCCUUCUCCUGACUACCUCAAGGUUAUUGAUGUGCAGGGGAAAAAAUCCACUUUUUCAUUAUCCUCAUUUUUGGAAAGACUUCCUCGCGACUUCUUCUCACAUCAAGAGGAGGAGACAGAGGAGGACAGUGACCUGUCAGAUUAUGGUGAUGAUGUGGAUGGGAGGAAAGAUGCCUUGGCUGAGCCAUGUUUCAUGUUGAUUGGGGAGAUCUUUGAACUUCGAGGAAUGUUUAAAUGGGUGAGAAGAACAUUAAUUGCUCUCGUUCAGGUCACUUUUGGAAGAACCAUCAACAAACAAAUCCGGGACACCGUGAACUGGAUUUUCAGUGAGCAAAUGUUGGUUUACUACAUCAACGUUUUCCGGGAUGCUUUUUGGCCACAUGGGAAAUUGGCGCCUCCAACCACAAUCAGAAGCGAAGAACAAAGUCAGGAAACAAAACAGAGAGCACAGCAGAAGCUGCUUGAGAACAUUCCAGAUACGCUUCAGAGCCUCGUUGGACAGCAGAAUGCCCGGCAUGGUAUAAUAAAAAUCUUCAACGCACUGCAGGAAACAAGAGCCAAUAAGCAUCUGUUAUAUGUGCUGAUGGAGUUGCUGCUAAUUGAGCUGUGUCCUGAGCUGAGAAGUCACUUAGAUCAGCUGAAAGCUGGCCAAGUCUGAGACCGCACAAACCAAGCACCAGAGAAAUCCCCCAGGAACAUUGAAAGCAAAAUAAUGGGCAAAAAUUCAGUUUGAAAUCCAUGAAAGAAAACUACUGUAUCUAUACUCAAGUGGUACUGAUUGUGGCAUUACUAGAUCAUACCUGCCAAGUUCUCGAUAUGAAACACAAGUUCUAAAAGGGAUGUAGAAAAGACACAUUCAGAUAAGAGAAGCAAAUGAAAUCACCGAGCCUCAGGAUGUCAUCGUAACACAGUUACUGAUGAAUGACCUAGAAGCCUCAACUCAACGUGAGUUAAAGAGUGAGACUCCACUCACAGGUCAAGGUGUGUGCCACGGUCUGCAGCAGUGGUAGUUUGCAAGGGCUCGUCUGUGCCAGAAGUACCCCCUUUAUGAGUGGCAAAAUGAAGUACAAGUAACAUAGACAAAGCGGAACAUGAGACAAGAGCAAGUACUUUUCUACCAUACAUACUUCUUUAGUGCCUGAUGCCUACGGAUUAAUUGUACUAAGAUGAGAUCCUGUUUAAACCCACUUUCGGAAAGGAUGGUAGUGAUUUAUAAAAUAAAGCCACAUCAGUGUAUGCUUACAGGAAGGUGUUGAUAAGGUAUCUUUAAGACGUUGUUUUCAGUGUAUCUGUUUCAGACAUGUAUUGCUACACAGUCUUCUCCAUGUGGAUCCUAUUAUUUGUAUUAUCAACUUUUAUCUUUAUGGACCUCAUUAAUGCAAGGAAAGCCUAAUUAAAAAUUUUAACAUAUUUAGAUUCAGUUCUUAUAUUGAGAGAUGAUUUGAAUUUUUUUUCACAUUUUACUUUGCUUUGAAAUGAAUCGUAAGGUUUUUUUAAUCUAGCAGAUGAGUCUAAGCACAAAGAAACAUCUCUCUUAACUGAUUAUCUUAUCGGGAAUAUAGCAGUUGUCUUAUUCAUUAAGAUCUUUAAGGGAAGAUUCUAAGCAGUUUCUUAAACCUACUUUUUUUGAAGUUUAUAAUAAAUUAGCCAACUAUUUAAAAGAAUUUCUUUUAAGAAGACAAGAUGUCCCAAAAGACUUAGUACAGUCUUAGCUUUAAUUGCUUUGGAAGUAUAAAUGCUACACAAUUAAAGAACAUUAUUUGAAAGUUUCUUUAAAUUCUUUUUAAUAGUUUUAUGAAUCUUAAAGAUUUUUUAACGUUUAUUUGUGAGAGAGAGAGAGAGAGAGAGAGCGCAUGCAAGCAGGGGAGGGUCAGAGAGAGAGGGAGACACAAUCUGAAGCAGGCUCCAGGCUCUGAGCUGUCAGCACAGAGCUUGAUGCGGGGCUCAAACUCACAAACCGCGAGAUCAUGACCUGAGCUGAAGUCAGAUGCUUAACUGACUGAGCCACCCAGGUGCCCCUUAAAUUUAAAAAUUUUUAAUGGAAAACAACAAAUUAAAAUUAAUAAUCCAAAAUUCACAAAACUAAGUGAGGGUCAAAGAAAUUUUAAAGAGUUAAGCUUUCAGUGUUUUUUUUAUAAGUUUGUAGCAUUUAUACUUUUGAAGUUAUUAAAGCUAAGACUGCACUAAGUCUUUUAGACACUCUGUAUUAAAAAAAAAAGAUAAUUUUCUUUAGGGAGUGUUUUUCUCUAUUUGAUAUGAUCUAGGCCAGUCUGUAGGCAAAGAGCUGGAUCUUUAAGGACUCAUUUAGCAAUUAGAUCCUAUACCUAAGGUUUUGAGUUAUAAAAUUACAGAUGUAAGAACAAAGGUAACAUGUCAUCAGAAUACCCAGGAUAUUGUAACUUGGGAUGCAGAAAAUAACCAAACAGCGUAGCGACUAUAAAAACACACACCGUUCU